CAUUGUAUUUUCUACAAAUUGUACAAUUUUCUGCGAAACAAAAUCGUAUCGGUCCUUGGCUCAUUCUAAAAUAAAAGUUUUCCUUGGAAAUUCACAUGUCAACCAAUUGGCCAACAAAAUCGUUUCCUAGAAAUCAGGAAUAGGUGCACACUCUUUGCUCCCUGCGUACGAUUCACACGUUGAGCUGAGCGCAGAAUGUUUAUCAAAGCUCGGUCAAAGAAAAGCUUAAGCUGCGCUUAUCUGCAGAAAGCAUCCGCUUAAAAGCUAAACGUGCUCGCCGUGAGAGCUACAGCACGAGCCAUUUACGGACGUCACGAGCCAAAGACGACGCGACGGCGCGACAUUGACGUGCUGCCGCCAUCAAGAGCAGCACCUACGCCGGCAGCGACAACGACGACAGCGACACCUACCGGCAAAUGAGUCAUUGGCCGAAACAGAGCAGAGCAAGAACAAAUCAAAGUAUACUUAGGCAAAUUCAAUUGCUCUCAAAUAAACGGUAAAUUGUACGCACGUGGAGCUUUGGUCAUGGAUGAUGAUUACACAAGCAGCUAUUUAAAAGCUCGCGCAUUUGUCACCCACUUUGAUAGCCGCACAUAAUUUGAUGGGUGCGUUAAUUAAUAAUAAAAAACUUGACCAAGGCAGCGACAACUGUGCCCUGUAAGCGACUAUUUUGGAGGCAAGUGAUUCAAUGUGAAAUGUCAAUGAAUUGAUAAAAAAUCAAGUGAGACGGGAGAGAGUAACAUGGAGCGAAAAAGAAGAAAAGAAGACUAUUGGCAACAAAUGAGAAUUAGAAUGUAACUAGAGAUCAUGAGAAUCGCAUAGAAGACUCGCAAAGUGGUAAUAUUGUACGCAUAUCAACCGCCUGAUUUUAUCAUACCCUGACAAACUGAAAACGUUUCUGAUGGUAAAUCGCUUAUCAGGCAACGGAAAUUAUGCACAGAUAAAAUAAAAAUAAAAACUCCAAACGGAACUGUAAAAUGCAAAUGCCGCUAAAGCAAUCUUAUCUAAACCAAAAGUGAAUACAACCAAAAUCGACUUCAUUGUGGGAAAUUUUUCUUAGUAGCUCGUUAAAUGUUUAAACAGAAAUUGUUGUGGCAAGCGGCACGUUUCGAGCAAAUGUAAAGCAGCCGCUGCGACGCCAAUCAGAAUUGCAAUAAUCUAAUCAGAACAUUCUCAUAUCGAAUCGUUUCACCUUUGGCAGGCAAUGGAAAACGUGCUGGCCCGGCGAACUAUUGUUGUUGGGCUUAUCAGGGGAAGCAAUCAAUUAUUAACCAACUGACAGCAUUGCGUAUACGUAAUGUGCUUGCAGUUUGCAUCUUUGUGAUCUUAUCUGAAGCACCUGC